GAUCUGCCGAGCUCCCCUCGCUCUCCUCGAUCCAGAUCGCCGUGCUCUGCUCCUCCCUCCCUCCCCUCCGGCAAGAUCCCCACGCCCCUCCCUCCCUCUCUUCCCUCCGGCGGCCUCUCUCUCCUCGAUCCGCAACCAAUCAAACCGCAACCAAUCCCCCACCCCACCCUUCCUCCCUCUCACUCGCGUAGGUGCAAGCGCAGGGCACAACGCCCAAUCCAAGGCGACGCCGUCCUCGUGCGCGCUCGCGGUGGCCAUGACGGCGCAGGCGCUCGCGCCGCCGCCGCCGGAGCCGCGGCAGCUCAGCCUGGCGGACCUCAGGGCCGUCUCCGUGCUCGGCCGCGGCGCCAAGGGCGUCGUCUUCCACGUCGUGCCCGAGGGCGAGGGCGGCGCCGGCGACGUCGCCAUGGCACUCAAGGCGGUCUCGCAGGAGGCCGUGCGGCACAAGAAGAGCGGCGGGAGCGGCGGCGGGGACGGACAGCAGCGGCGGCGACCUCAACUCCCUCCGCCGCCGCCAGACCGAGAUGUUCUCCGACUCCGUCAUACGGGACGCGACCAAGAUCCUGGUGGCCUCGCACUCCACCGCGCCUGACAGCAAGCUGAAGGCCGUCUACAAGAAGUACUCGAGCGAGAAACUGGGAGGAGUUGCCCUUCCAGAUUAGAUCAUGCUUGGUUUUAGCUAUAUAUGCAUGCCUUUCUUUACAAUGCCCAUUUGCCAAGGUACCCGUGAUUAACCUCUGGUUUCCUCUCUCUCUCUCUCCUUGUGCAGCGGCUAUUGAUUGGUCUCAGGUCCAUGGAGCUCCAACGUCAAGGGCACAAAGCAGCAGCAGCAGCAAAGACAGAGGCCAAGGCAUUCAUCCAGGAGGUGCGCAGUCCGCUCGGCAUCAAACUUAUUAUACACUUGUGAACAUUAUUGGAAUGAGACUCGAAGGAGACCAUACGCAAGGCACCUCCUCUUCGGUUGUGAGAGUGUCCAGGGGUCGUGGGUGCGGCUAAUGCCUAUGAUCUAAUGUUGUCGAGGUUGCUGCUGCUGUGACAGAAGAUCAGAAGAAGCUUGGAGAUGCGCUCCAUAGUUUUAGUUGAUGUUGCCACCAAGUUUUGGUGCUUGUGUAUCUGUUUUUGAUUGUAUGUGCACUUGUUGGACGUGCAAACGUGUAUGUGCUCUUGUUAGUAUUUGACUGGAUGAUUUCUGGAUUUAAUCAGUUAAUUGAGAGAUUUAUUGAUUUUUUGCU